GAUGAACGCUGGCGGCGUGCUUAACACAUGCAAGUCGAACGGUGAAGGCGGAGCUUGCUCUGCUGGAUCAGUGGCGAACGGGUGAGUAACACGUGAGCAAUCCGCCCCUGACACUGGGAUAAGCGCUGGAAACGGCGUCUAAUACUGGGUACGAGCUGCGAAGCCAUCUUCAGCAGCUGGAAAGAACUUCGGUCAGGGCUAGGCUCGCGGCCUAUCAGCUUGUUGGUGAAGUAACGGCUCACCAGGGCUUCGACGGCUAGCCGGCCUGGGAGCGGUACCGGCGACCCGGGGACUGCGACACGGCCCAGACUGCUACCGGAGGCAGCAGUGGAGAACAUUGCACAAUGGGCGAGAGCCUGAUGCAGCAGCGCCGGGUGAGGGACGACGGCUUUCGGGUUGUAAACCUCUUUUAGCAGGGAAGAAGCGAAAGUGACGGUACCUGCAGAAAAAGCGCCGGCUAACUACGUG
rnacentral:rRNA from 1 species